GGGCGCUUAGCUCAGUGGCAGAGCGACUCGUUUACACCGAGUAGGCCGUGGGUUCGAUCCCCUCAGCGCCCACAA
rnacentral:tRNA from 1 species